AUUGAACGCUGGCGGCAUGCUUUACACAUGCAAGUCGAACGAGAACGGAUUAUAGCUUGCUAUAAUUGUCAGCUAAGUGGCGCACGGGUGAGUAAUGUAUAGAUAACCUGCCCUUAAGAAAGGAAUAACAGUUGGAAACGACUGCUAAUGCCCUAUAUGCCUUUAAUACAUAAGUAUGCAAGGGAAACGCUUUAGUGCUUAAGGAUGGGUCUGUAUGGUAUCAGCUUGUUGGUGAGGUAAUGGCUCACCAAGGCUAUGACGCCUAACUGGUUUGAGAGGAUGAUCAGUCACACUGGAACUGAGACACGGUCCAGACUCCUACGGGAGGCAGCAGUGGGGAAUAUUGCACAAUGGACGAAAGUCUGAUGCAGCAACGCCGCGUGGAGGAUGACACAUUUCGGUGCGUAAACUCCUUUUAUAUAGGAAGAUAAUGACGGUACUAUAUGAAUAAGCACCGGCUAACUCCGUGCCAGCAGCCGCGGUAAUACGGAGGGUGCAAGCGUUACUCGGAAUCACUGGGCGUAAAGAGCGUGUAGGCGGGUAUAUAAGUCAGAAGUGAAAUCCAAUAGCUCAACUAUUGAACUGCUUUUGAAACUGUAUACCUAGAAUGUGGGAGAGGUAGAUGGAAUUUCUGGUGUAGGGGGUAAAAUCCGUAGAGAUCAGAAGGAAUACCGAUUGCGAAGGCGAUCUACUGGAACAUUAUUGACGCUGAGACGCGAAAGCGUGGGGAGCAAACA
rnacentral:rRNA from 1 species